ensembl:lncRNA
AGUGAGUGAGUUUACGUUAGCUAGUUAACAGCCAUGGUGGAGGGUGACAGGACAUUAACGUUAGCCCCAACUGUCAGUGAGAGAUUAGGCUAUUCUGGAUAAGGCAGGCACUUUUGUGUAGUUCCUGUCCCUAGAAGUGAGGAUGGAGAUAAUAGUAACAUAAUAUUCAGUGUGGUGUAAUUUGACUAUAAUGAAGUCUGUUUCUUGUGAGGUUUUAUGUCCUCAUAAAGAGAGAUAUUGUCACGUUCUGACCUUUAUUUCCGUUGUUUUGUCAUUAUUUAGUAUGGUCAGGGCGUGAGUUGGGGUGGGCAGUCUAUGUUUGUUUUUCUAUGAUUUGGGUAUUUCUAUGUUUCGGCCUAGUAUGGUUCUCAAUCAGAGGCAGGUGUCAUUAGUUGUCUCUGAGAAUCAUACUUAGGUAGCCUGGGUUUCACUGUGUGUUUGUGGGUGUUUGUUUCCGUGUCUGUGUUUUUCAACACACGGUACUGUUUUGGGUUUCGUUCAUUCCAUGUUUAUUGUUUUUGUAUUCAGUUGUUCAUGUGUACUAUUUCGUAUUAAAAGAACCAUGGACACUUACCACGCUGCAUAUUGGUCCUCCGAUCCUUUUCGCCUCUCCUCUUCGGAAGAAGAGGAGGAAAUCCCUUACAGAUAUGAAAGCCUGUCUAUAUAUGAAGAGGUCCCAAUGAAGAGCAGUGGUUCUCAGUCCUGGUCCUGGGGGCUCAAAGGGGUGUACAUUUUUGUUUUUGUCUUAGCACUGCACAGCUGAUUCAAAUUAUCAACUCAUCAAGCUUCAAGUGGUAUUUAUGUAUUCUUUUGUGACCCUAUCCUUGAUAUGAUCCUGUUAUUGUCACAUGCACAUAUGUGUGGCCAUGCCUCUAUCGGUCCAAUGUUAUCAUGAUUUGUUAUCAGGGAUAUUAUACUUUAGUAAUCUACAAUGAUCUGGUGAUGUAAAACUCAAAUAAUUACAUUAUUAUUAAUUGUCUUCCAUAUUCCUACAGAUACCUUGUAACUGGAGAUUCAUUCAAAGCGAUUGCCUACAGUUAACGUGUAGGGCACUGCACGGUUGGGUGACCAGGGUCAUCUGGGACUGAGGAAUUCAGGUGUGUGAAGGCUACCUGUGUCCUGCAUAACUUCACCAGGAGGGGAUAUGCAGCCGCCGUGUGCCAGAGAAGUCUGCUGCUCUGCAGGAUGUUUCAAGGAUGGGGUACAACAACACAGCAAGAGAGGCAAUCCGUGUGCGGGAAAUCUUCACCUCCUACUUCUUUGAAGAUGGUGCUGUUCCCUGGCAACACAAUAGACUGCACUAUGCACAACCAAAGGCUCUUUUAAGAGCCAUUCACAUUGCAAUAAGAGUAGUCUUCCAUUUACUUAGCUAUGUCAUUUUUGCAGUUAUUCAAUUUCCAGUUUCUCUCCCUUUGAGUUCUACUUCUAAGGUGAGGGUGCUGUUUAGGUAAGGGUGUGAUGUCUGUACAAAAACAAAACAGGCUAUUUUAAAAUCACCCAUAUUGAAAAAAUGUAGAGCAAUUAGACACCCUAUAACCCAUACCUACACUCAUGUAUCAAUCUGAUUGAUGGAUUGUGUUGUGCAGUAAACAGGCUCAGGUGUAUAACUGUGGCUCCUUCCACCUUCAAAGAAUAGGCAAGAGGGCCAACCAUGGAGAAUAGUUAUAUCAGCUGUGUCGGUGAAACCCUCCCACAUUUGAACUGGCUACAUAGAUGGCACAGCAUGAUCAGAGAUGUUUUUAUUUGAGAGGAUGCCAACCCUGUCUCAUCAUCGCCACCUCAACUUUCGUGCCGACUAGACACUUAUGUAAUUGUUAUGAACUGAGAGAAUAUUUGGGUAGCACUAAUCAUUAAUCAUAUGCUGCCUUCCCUGCUCCUAUGUUCUUACCUCUUUCCCUGUCUUUUACACCUCUCUCACUGCCUCUUUCUUCCUGUUUUUAUAAUGCACAACAGAUGUGCAUUGAAGUACAGAUUGAACUUGUAUUUAUAAUAUUAUAAUAUUUGUAAUGCAUGUAUUUAUAACACUUGGAUUAUUAACUUCUUUUAAUAAAGCGUUUCACAUUCUCUA